AGCUGAAGGUGAGCGACCACAGUGAGACAGCUGAAGGUGAGCGACCAGUGAGACAGCUGAAGGUGAGCGACCGCAGUGAGACAGCUGAAGGUGAGCGACCACAGUGAGGCAGCUGAAGGUGAGCGACCACAGUGAGGCAGCUGAAGGUGAGCGUCUGUCAGCCAGACCUGGGUUCAAAUACUAUUUAGGGUAUUUCAAUUACUUUCAAAUACAUUUGGAAAGUUUUUUUAUUUUUUUUUAAAUACUAGAAUACACCAACUCAAAUAUAGUAUUUGAAAAUACUUUAAAAUUGUAGGCUAUUUUAAGGAAAUUGUGCAGAUUUCCUUUCACCUACUCUGUGUCUUUGUUACACGCAGAGUAGGUGAACGGAUGAUCUCCGCAUGUGUAGUUCCCACCGUGAAGCAUGGAGGAGGUGUGAUGGUGGGGCUAUCAUCUGUUUUUCCCCAGGACAAUGACCCAACACACCUCCAGGCUGUAAAAGGGCUAUUUGACCAAGGAGUGCUGCAUGAAAUGACCUGGCCUCCACAAUCACCCGACCUCAACCAAAUUGAGAUGAGUUGGACCGCAGAGUGAAGAAAAAUAAACCAACAAGUGCUCAGCAUAUGUGGGAGCUCCUUCAAGACUGUUGGAAAAGUAUUCCAGGUGAAGCUGGUUGAGAGAAUGCCAAGUGUGUUUAAAGCUGUCAUCAAGGCAAAG
ensembl:lncRNA